rnacentral:SRP_RNA from 1 species
GCCAGGCGUUGUGGCGGGCACCUGUGGUCCCAGCUACUUGGGAGGCGGAGGCAGGAGACUCGCUUGAGCCCAGGAGUUGGAGGUUGCUGUGAGCUGUAAUGCCAUGGCACUCUACCCAGGAGGACAGCUUGAGGCUCUGUCUUAAAAAAAAAAAAAAAAAAAAAAGAAGCAGAGCAGGUCAAAACUCCCAUGCUGAUCAGUAGUGGGAUUGUGCUUCUGAAUAGCCACUGCACUCUAGUCUGGGCAACAUAGCAAGAUCCUGUCUGUA